CAGGCUUAACACAUGCAAGUCGAGGGGCAGCAUGGUCUUAGCUUGCUAAGGCCGAUGGCGACCGGCGCACGGGUGAGUAACACGUAUCCAACCUGCCGUCUACUCUUGGACAGCCUUCUGAAAGGAAGAUUAAUACAAGAUGGCAUCAUGAGUCCGCAUGUUCACAUGAUUAAAGGUAUUCCGGUAGACGAUGGGGAUGCGUUCCAUUAGAUAGUAGGCGGGGUAACGGCCCACCUAGUCUUCGAUGGAUAGGGGUUCUGAGAGGAAGGUCCCCCACAUUGGAACUGAGACACGGUCCAAACUCCUACGGGAGGCAGCAGUGAGGAAUAUUGGUCAAUGGGCGAGAGCCUGAACCAGCCAAGUAGCGUGAAGGAUGACUGCCCUAUGGGUUGUAAACUUCUUUUAUAAAGGAAUAAAGUCGGGUAUGGAUACCCGUUUGCAUGUACUUUAUGAAUAAGGAUCGGCUAACUCCGUGCCAGCAGCCGCGGUAAUACGGAGGAUCCGAGCGUUAUCCGGAUUUAUUGGGUUUAAAGGGAGCGUAGAUGGAUGUUUAAGUCAGUUGUGAAAGUUUGCGGCUCAACCGUAAAAUUGCAGUUGAUACUGGAUAUCUUGAGUGCAGUUGAGGCAGGCGGAAUUCGUGGUGUAGCGGUGAAAUGCUUAGAUAUCACGAAGAACUCCGAUUGCGAAGGCAGCCUGCUAAGCUGCAACUGACAUUGAGGCUCGAAAGUGUGGGUAUCAAACAGGAUUAGAUACCCUGGUAGUCCACACGGUAAACGAUGAAUACUCGCUGUUUGCGAUAUACAGCAAGCGGCCAAGCGAAAGCGUUAAGUAUUCCACCUGGGGAGUACGCCGGCAACGGUGAAACUCAAAGGAAUUGACGGGGGCCCGCACAAGCGGAGGAACAUGUGGUUUAAUUCGAUGAUACGCGAGGAACCUUACCCGGGCUUAAAUUGCAGAUGAAUUACGGUGAAAGCCGUAAGCCGCAAGGCAUCUGUGAAGGUGCUGCAUGGUUGUCGUCAGCUCGUGCCGUGAGGUGUCGGCUUAAGUGCCAUAACGAGCGCAACCCUUGUUGUCAGUUACUAACAGGUUCCGCUGAGGACUCUGACAAGACUGCCAUCGUAAGAUGUGAGGAAGGUGGGGAUGACGUCAAAUCAGCACGGCCCUUACGUCCGGGGCUACACACGUGUUACAAUGGGGGGUACAGAGGGCCGCUACCACGCGAGUGGAUGCCAAUCCCCAAAACCUCUCUCAGUUCGGACUGGAGUCUGCAACCCGACUCCACGAAGCUGGAUUCGCUAGUAAUCGCGCAUCAGCCACGGCGCGGUGAAUACGUUCCCGGGCCUUGUACACACCGCCCGUCAAGCCAUGGGAGCCGGGGGUACCUGAAGUACGUAACACGCGAGGAGCGCCCUAGGGUAAAACUGGUGACUG
rnacentral:rRNA from 1 species